AUGGAGUCACACCAGGUCUUCGUCUUCCUGCUCCUUUGGAUGUCUGGUGCUGAGGGGAACAUUGUGAUGACCCAAUCUCCCGAAUUCAUGUCCACAUCUGUAGGAGACAGCAUCACUCUAGGCUGCAAGUCCAGUCAGAGUGUGAGUAAUGAUGUACAUUGGUACCAACAGAAAUCAGGGCAGCCUCCUAAACUUCUAAUGUCCUAUGCAUCCAAUCGCCCCUCUGGGGUCCCUGAUCGCUUCACAGGAAGUGGAUCUGGGACAGAUUUCACUCUCACGAUCAACAGUGUGCAGGUAGAAGACCUGGCAGUUUAUUACUGUCAGCAGGGUUACAGCUAUCCUCCCACAGUGCUUCAUCCUCCAACACAAACCUCCUUGAGAGUCUCACUGGCAGCCUGCACCACACACAACCCUGGGUCUACACAAUUUCUAUUUCUUCCUGGGAUUUCUUAUGCAUGA